rnacentral:rRNA from 1 species
AACAACGCUGGCGGCGUGCCUAACACAUGCAAGUCGUACGAGAAAUUCGCUUCGGCGAAUGAGUAAAGUGGCGCACGGGUGAGUAACGCGUGGAUAAUCUGCCCUGUAGUCGGGAAUAACUCACCGAAAGGUGGGAUAAUACCCGAUAAACUGUUUUACCUCGGUGGAACAGUCAAAGAUAGCCUCUGUAUACAAGCUUUCACUAAAGGAUGAGUCCGCGUACCAUUAGCUAGUUGGUAGGGUAACGGCCUACCAAGGCAACGAUGGUUAGCUGGUCUGAGAGGAUGAUCAGCCACACUGGAACUGAGACACGGUCCAGACUCCUACGGGUGGCAG